ACACACAUAUAUAUAUAUAUAUAUAUAUACACAUAUAUGUAUGUAUAAAUAUAUUUCUAUUUUGGGGAAAAACCAAUAAUUUUUGAUACACACACAAAAAAUAAUAAAAAAAGGAAAAAGAAAAAAAAUUAGAAACACAACACACGGGGGGGAAAAAUUAUUCUAAUAAAAUAAAAAAAAAGGAAAUUUCUCCGAAAAUCGUGUAAAAAAAAUUCUUUAUUCCUUCAUUAAAUAUACUUUAUUGAAAAAUAAAAAAAAUUUUUUUUUUUUUUGAAAAGUGGAAAACAAAAAAAGAAACGUAAUUGAUAACGAGAAAUUUUUUUACCGAGAAUUUGAAAAAAAAACAACGGAGUAAAAAAAUCAAUAGUUAAACAAAAAACAAUAUUUUUUUUCGGAAAAUACUUGAAAAAAGAAAAAAAAAUUUUUGAAAAAAUAUUGAAUAAUCUUAAAAAUAUUAAAAAGUUGUUCUGUUUAAUAUUUUCGGCGGCAAAAACAAAUGUAAAAUUAAGAAUUUUUGUAUUUGAAACAACAACUACAACAAUAACAAGAGCAGUGACAACCCAGUAAAAUUUUUAGUAUGAAACAAGAAUGCAUAAAUAAAUAUUUUUGGUUGUCGAUGAAAACUGAUAUACAAUUAUAAAAAGAAGUAUUUAAUUAAAAAAAAUAAUUAAUAUUGUGAAUACAAAAUAAAAACAACACCGAAAAUAUUUAAAAUUUAUUUGUGUAUAACAGUUAAAAAAAAAAAAAUAAAUAAAAUAAAUAUACUUGAGAAAAUAUGGAAAAACAACAGUUAGAUGCAUUGCAUAACAACGGGAGAAGAUAAAAAAUUUAAUUUAAUAUCAUCAUUCUUCUAUAAAAUAAUGCACAACAAAUCAUGAUAAAGAAACUUUUACCGAGAAAAAAACGAAGAAAAAAAAUUCACAUUUAAAUUAAUUAUAUAAUAUUAUAUAUAUAUAAAGGAUAUAUAUGUAUAUAUAGAAAGAGAAAAAAGAAACAAAAACAAAAGGAAAAAAAGUAAUAAAAAGAAAAAUAAACGAAUAAUAACACACACAUUCUUUUAUAUUAUAUUGUUUGUAUAUAUAUAUAUAUAUAUAUAUGUAUAAAUAUACAAUAUAUAUAUCUACAUAUAUACAUAAGUAUAUACCUCUCCAAUGAUAGUUUGGA